GCAUCGUGUGCUGUCUCAGGGUAACUUUCUUCUGUUUGAUGCACUGGACUUGAAGUUGGCAAGUGUGAUUGUUGUGUAUAACCAGGGGAAAACAGUGGCUUUGCGCCAUGCGCUGUUUCAGGGUAACUUUCUUUCCUUUGAGGCUGCGGGUUUGAAGUUGGUAAAUGUGGUUGUUGUGUAUAACCAGGGGAAAACAGAGGCCUUGCGCCAUGCGCUUUUUCAGGAUAACUUUCUUUCCUCUGAGGCUGAGGGUUUGAAGUAGGUAAAUGUGGUUGUUGUGUAUAACCAGGGGAAAACAGAGGCUUUGCGCCAUGCGCUGUUUCAGGGUAACUUUCUUUCCUUUGAGGCUGAGGGUUUGAAGUUGGUAAAUGUGGUUGUGUAUAGCGAGGGGAAAACAGAGGCUUCAUUCCUUUUGUUGGUUCAGGGUAACUUUCU
rnacentral:lncRNA from 1 species